CAAGACUUAACAUAAAUAAUGUGUCUCACUUACAUUGAGAAAAUAAUUAUAUAGUAUAAUUAGUCUUGA
rnacentral:tRNA from 1 species